CACGUGACCCUGACGCGCUCGUGAACCGCACUCAGGGAAGUUGUUUUCCGUUACUUCUACUUUUAAAAUGUGAAGUUUAACUUAGAAUAACGCUAUUCGAUCUGUUCAGCCAAAAGGUGGUCUACAUCCAUAAAGAGCUUGUGGACGCAGAGUACAAAGAUGUCCAAGCUGGCUUCCCGUAACUCUCAGCUGCUGCUGGCGGAUCAGAAGUGUGCUAGAUGUCUGUUAGAGACGUAUGUCAAGCGGAGCCUCAGCCUCAAUGAAGGGUGCCGGAAACAUCAGCUGAAUAAGCUCAAAUGGCUUAAACCAGAAAGACAGUCCAGACGGGCGUCCAGUGACACCUCCACCCACCGUCUGAGAGUAGAGAGGUUCCUGAAGACCGGUGAGUGUCCUGAAUGCACAUCACAAGAGCUGGUCACUAGGAGUAAGAGCACCAAAGCACCGAGCAGAACCAAAUCACUCUUCAGAGGCUUCCUCCACCUCUUCUCUAAGAAGAAGACUGAGCCCAAAGUGAAAGAGGAGCGAGUUACAGAAACAGACUCUGGACAGUAUACGACAGAGCGGGGGCUUCGCUCUUCUCAUAACGGCUCACCUGGCCACACUGAGACUGUGAGGAAGAAACACUCUCUGAGGAGGAUCUUCUUUAGCAACCAAAAUGAUGAGAAAAGAGAAACAUUACGAAAGGACUGCUCUCCUGUUCCUGGUGGCGUGGAGGGGCUUUCAGACGUGAGCGUGGAUUCUGAUAAUGCAUACUUUGAGAAGGUGUCAGAAGAGCUGGAGUUGAUUGUGAAGGAGAUUCAGUUCAGUCCAAACGAAGAUGGUGUUCCGCUGCUCUCUGCUGCUUCUGCAGGAAACUGCAGCUCUUCAGGUGAAGACACUACAGAGAGGAUCAUCAGCCUGCUGAAGCAACAUGGGGAUAUUAUAGAUCAGAAAAUAAGCAGGAACAAGAGCGUCCAAGACUUCCUCCAGAAACUGUCUUACAGCUCCUUCCAGCGGCUCGCUGAUCGCUACAUAGCGCAGAUCCCCAGUCCUCUUCCCCAGACCACAGACGCCUCUCCUGAGCUGGUCAGACUGGCCUUCACCCUGGACUUUACUGCCAAAGUGGCUGGAUUGUGCAGCCAGACGGUCGGUCGAAUCAUGGGGUUUGGGAACCAGUACCUUCAGGAUUCCUUCACACAAAUGUGUGCAGCCCACAGACAGGUGCCCGAAGAUUUGGAAGAACAGAUUACAAGUGACACAGACUGACUGUGAAGUCAAAAAAAGAUUAAAAGUGAAAACAGGAGUGUGAAGAGCUUUGUGAGGGUUUGUGCCAUGGAUGGAGUCGGCGGGAAGACAGCGGAGACGUGCCCAUUCAGAUCCGAGGAGGUCAUCACGUGUCUCUCAUGGUGUUCAUGGUGAACUUGCGCAGGUGGUGGCACUCCAGAUUGGCAGUGUGAAGAGUAAGAGCAGGUAUGAGAGCGCCCACUGAGGUAAAGCCACAUCCGAAUCACUCAUGAUCUCCAGCUGCCCCACCAUAUUACCCAACAGCACUAAACCAGGGAAUACGAGACUGGUUCACUUCUGGAUCACAUCCUCCACCAUCAGGAAUGUAGACGGGACACUACAGUACCUUCCUGAACCUCUGCUGGUGGUCCAGGGCCGUUUUGAUGGGAUUCCUCUUCCUCUGCACGAUCAGACUGAGUCAGCAUCCAGUGACCUGAGCUCACUGAAUCAUCGGACGCAUCAGACUCCCUUCUCUGUUGAGGAUAUAGCGGCAGUGCAUCUGUUGAGGUGUUCAGGUUUGUUUACUCUGAAACAGAAAAAAAGCACCGUAGCCGUCUAUGUGUCUGUGUCGGGACACGGUCCCAGACCUCACCCUCCAGUCUCGAGGAAACAAGGCGUCCACCAGCCUGAUGAAGUUGGUGACGGAGCACUGGAAGGAGAGCCGCUGGAUGAUGGCAUCGCACAGGAUGGUGCAGGUAUCAAACGGACAGAUGUCCAUGUUUCCAGCAAACGGUGAGAUGGUGAGGGUGCGAGAGGAAUCCUCGAAGGGCUGGAUGUUUGUGAAACCUCCAUCCAUAUAGUGCUGGGAAUAUACAGGGGCGUUGUGUUCAUAGCUUAUUCUGGGCUGACUGUUUAAGUGUAUUUCUGUAGUUUUUAGGCACUUGUACUCACCUCACCUUUAUACUGCGGUGGGAUCACUCCAGAAUAUACAGGGACAAAACAACUACACAAAAGUGCCUUAGAGAUUGUAACAAGGCCAUUUAAAGAAAAAACGAAAGAGAAAGAAAACAACAGAGUUGGACCUUUAUUACAAACAUGAUUUCAUCAUCAACAAAUAAGCCCAAGUGAUGAAUUUAAGUUAGCUCUUCCUCUUUCUUGAAAGGAAGCGCUGCAUGCGUUCAGGAUUUUCGAAGAAAACACAAUUUCAUAGCUAUUACUAGGAUGUGCAAUAUUGUCCUUCUGCUUUCCAGAGUUUCGAUGCUUUUUAAUUCAAACUGAUAAAGUUUGAGCGUUCUUCCAUAAAGGACGGUUAUUGUGUUUAUUUUAGUAGUUUCCAUGAAAUAAUCUAAAGUGAGCACUAUUUACUUUUUACAACUCCUUUUCUAUUGGUUUAAAUAUUGCACAUCAGUUUGGUCAGUUGUUAACAAAGGAUAAUGAAACAUCUGACUCUUUGCAUAUGAGCUAAUUAAACACACAAUAGAUUAACUACAAUAGAUUGCAACUGAUUUAUUAGUGCUUUGGUACUGUAUAUGUUACUCUGAAUGAACGUCAUAAUGCUUACUUUAAUAAGCUCAUCGCUGGAAUUAAAUUCUGACACGAUGAGGUUUUUUCCAUCAGAGAUGCGAGUCACGGAGACGUGCAGACGGCCGCUGGCCAGAGUGUGUGCGUUAUCAGGCAGACAGCGCUGCAGUGUGACCUCCAGCCACCGGAAAAUAUCCACCGUGGGACUGAGAAGACCGAGAGGAUGCUGUUGGGUAAAUCGCACAAACUCCAAAAGCUGGUCUCGAACAUGUUCUGUGAGAAGAAAGGGCUGUUUUUAAUUACUACUGACUCAAUUGUAAGCCAUGAUUCUUUAAUCCAACUAACUACAGUAACAGCACAUUACAGGUUUUUUAUUUUAAUUGCUUACAAAACUUAGCCUCUUUUUUCCAAAACUUUCAGUCAAAUGCUGAGAUUUAGUUUAUGGUUUGGCAGGUUUGGUGUGUGGUUCUGGUGUUUUUGAGUGACAGUUUUCAGAAAUGUGUGACAAGUAAAGAUUUUGUGUGUAAGCAGUUGAAAAAAAAACUGUAAACCAGGCAGCAAUCUGUUCGUGGUGAGGUGGGAUGUGAACCUACAAUCUUUACAGUAAGUAAAAUACUAAGUCUUAGUCAGUCAGUGAAAGUUCUGAAUAGAAAGAUGUCAGAUUACCGAGACUGGAGCCACAGACGACCGCUGCAGCGACCAGGGAACCAGCAGACGCGCCGUAGACCCUCGGAGCUCCUCGCAGGAUCCAGGCGGCGUUAUCCAGAAGACUCUGUGCAGCACCGAGCUGGUGGCGUCUCUCACCAGACUCCUGCUGAACACUACCACUCAUUAUGCCUGAUGCAUCACACCUGUAUGUUGCCCAAUUUAAGUGUGUUUGCGCCAUGCUUUAUUGUUCAGUCUUGAGCCUAUGUUACCUGUUGCAAGCUAAGUCUGUUAAAGUUUAAGUUUAAGCCUUUGGAUCCUUGUGUCUAUUUUUCUUUGUACUGUUUUUUGGAAGCACAGCUUCUCUUGUUUUUUUUGCACCUUUUAUUAAUAAAGUUUGUCUUUUGUUGAA